AAUGAACGCUGGCGGCAGGCCUAACACAUGCAAGUCGAACGGUAACAGGAAGAAGCUUGCUUCUUUGCUGACGAGGGGCGGACGGGUGAGUAAUGUCUGGGAAACUUCCUGAUGGAGGGGGAUAACUACUGGAAACGGUAGCUAAUACCGCAUAACGUCGCAAGACCAAAGAGGGGGACCUUCGGGCCUCUUGCCUGGGGGUGUGCCCAGAUGGGAUUAGCUUGUAGGUGGGGUAACGGCUCACCUAGGCGACGAACCCUAGCUGGUCUGAGAGGAUGACCAGCCACACUGGAACUGAGACACGGUCCAGACUCCUACGGGAGGCAGCAGUGGGGAAUAUUGCACAAUGGGCGCAAGCCUGAUGCAGCCAUGCCGCGUGUAUGAAGAAGGCCUUCGGGUUUUAAAGUACUUUCAGCGGGGAGGAAGGGAGUAAAGUUAAUACCUUUGCUCAUUGACGUUACCCGCAGAAGAAGCACCGGCUAACUCCGUG
rnacentral:rRNA from 1 species